CCUACGGGUGGCAGCAGUGAGGAAUAUUGGUCAAUGGACGAGAGUCUGAACCAGCCAAGUAGCGUGAAGGAUGACUGCCCUAUGGGUUGUAAACUUCUUUUAUAUGGGAAUAAAAUGUGCCACGUGAGGGAUUUUGUAUGGACCAUAUGAAUAAGGAUCGGCUAACUCCGUGCCAGCAGCCGCGGUAAUACGGAGGAUCCGAGCGUUAUCCGGAUUUAGGGGGUUUAAAGGGAGCGUAGGUGGAUUGUUAAGUCAGUUGUGACAGUUUGCGGCGCAACCGUAAAAUUGCAGUUGAAACGGGCAGUCUUGAGUACAGUAGAGGUGGGCUGCAUUCGUGUUGUAGCGG
rnacentral:rRNA from 1 species